GGCGUCGAGCGGCGGACGGGUGAGUAAUACUUAGGAAUCUACCUAGUAUUGGGGGAUAGCACGGGGAAACUCGUAUUAAUACCGCAUACGACCUACGGGAGAAAGGGGGCAGUUUACUGCUCUCGCUAUUAGAUGAGCCUAAGUCGGAUUAGCUAGAUGGUGGGGUAAAGGCCUACCAUGGCGACGAUCUGUAGCUGGUCUGAGAGGAUGAUCAGCCACACCGGGACUGAGACACGGCCCGGACUCCUACGGGAGGCAGCAGUGGGGAAUAUUGGACAAUGGGGGAAACCCUGAUCCAGCCAUGCCGCGUGUGUGAAGAAGGCCUUUUGGUUGUAAAGCACUUUAAGCAGGGAAGAAGACUCCUCGGUUAAUACCCGUGGACGAUGACAUUAUCUGCAGAAUAAGCACCGGCUAACUCUGUGCCAGCAGCCGCGGUAAUACAGAGGGUGCAAGCGUUAAUCGGAAUUACUGGGCGUAAAGGGAGCGUAGGUGGCUCGAUAAGUCAGAUGUGAAAUCCCCGGGCUCAACCUGGGAACUGCAUCUGAUACUGUUGAGCUAGAGUAUGUGAGAGGAAGGUAGAAUUCCAGGUGUAGCGGUGAAAUGCGUAGAGAUCUGGAGGAAUACCGAUGGCGAAGGCAGCCUUCUGGCAUAAUACUGACACUGAGGCUCGAAAGCGUGCGUAGCAAACAGGAUUAGAUACCCUGGUAGUCCACGCCGUAAACGAUGUCUACUAGUCGUUGGGUCCCUUGAGGACUUAGUGACGCAGCUCACGCAAUAAGUAGACCGCCUGGUGAAUACGGCCGCAAGGUUAAAACUCAAAUGAAUUGACGGGGGCCCGCACAUGCGGUGGAGCAUGUG
rnacentral:rRNA from 1 species